GAAUCUUGCGCAAUGGCCGAAAGGCUGACGCAGCGACGCCGCGUGCGGUAGGAAGCCCUUCGGGGUGUAAACCGCUGUCAGGGGGGACGAAGGCUGUGGGGAGGCAAUGCCUCACAGAAGGACGGUACCUCCAGAGGAAGCACCGGCUAACUCCGUGCCAGCAGCCGCGGUAAUACGGAGGGUGCGAGCGUUGUUCGGAAUUAUUGGGCGUAAAGGGCGCGUAGGCGGCUUUUCAAGUGGCGGGUGAAAUCCCACGGCUUAACCGUGGAACUGCCUGCCAGACUGGAUGGCUUGAGGCCGGGAGAGGUGAGUGGAAUUCCCAGUGUAGCGGUGAAAUGCGUAGAUAUUGGGAGGAACACCAGUGGCGAAGGCGGCUCACUGGACCGGAACUGACGCUGAGGCGCGAAAGCGUGGGGAGCAAA
rnacentral:rRNA from 1 species